rnacentral:tRNA from 1 species
UCUGGUGACUCAGAGGUUAAAGCGUCUGCCUGGAAUGCAGGAGACCUGGGUUCGAUUCCUGGGUCAGAA